CGCGUGCGCGUCUCUGAAACGGGGACUUGGGAGCGCGCGCUGCCCCUCACUUGGCUGCAACUGGACCCAGAACUAGGGAAGAGGCCAGGGACAGAUUUUUUUUUUUUAUUUUUAUUUUUUUUGCCGAGGGACGUUUCAAAAUUUUGCACGGCCAGGGUGACAAAAAGAGGAUUUAAGAGCCACAAGCGGUCCGCACAUGACCCAGACUUCGUUCCUGUGCGGCUUCCAGAGGUGUUCAUGCAGAAGACUGGAUGCAGGACCCUUGGUGGCACCAGUGUGCAGAUGAGCAGAUAGUGACUGAUUGCCACUGGGAUCUUUACCAUGCUGGAUUGGAAGAGAAAAGACCAUCACUAAAGCAAAUGGAUCAAAUGGAGUUAUAAAUCAACUCUGUACUCUACAGGAUUGACUCAACUGCAGACAUCUCCAAUACACUCCCUCAUGGCUUUAUUUUUUCUGCUUAUGUGGAAAAAUAACAGUAAAUACAGUUAACUAUCCCAAGACAGAAGAGUAUUAUUAAAAAAGAAUACAACGUUAUUGAUUUUUCAAGACAUAAUCAGAUAUUUUUAAACUCUGAUUUAAUAAAACAUAAUGUAAUUUCUUUUGUGGGAUUUUUUAUGCUUUCCCAAUGUUUAUUACCCUGUGUGUUUCACACUUCAAAAUGAGAGUAUCGUAAUAAGAUCACUUGAGAGGAUCCUGAUCUAAGUUACAAAAUCCCCAUGGCCUUUAUAUCCACAUUGUCACAUUCCCCCAGUCAUCUCUUUCUACUUUAUUGUAUCUAUUACACUUUACACUUAUUUAUGUUUUUCUAUUUACUUUAUAUAUACAAUAUCAUGGGGUACAUAGUGUAAGAGGAAGGAUGGCACUAGCAAGUAUUCCUAAGUUGGUUUAGGGAAUGGGAAUAAGGGUA
rnacentral:lncRNA from 10 species